AAACUCGAAGAUGAGGAGAUGGUGUCCUACAUCCUCACUGGGCUCGACCAGGAGUACAACCCCUGGUGACCGCAGUCACCGCGCGGGUUGAGCCGAUCACUCUCGGCGAACUUUACUCGCAGCUUGUCAGCUUAGAGC
rnacentral:snoRNA from 1 species